AUAAAACGUGUAACUACAGGGAAGAAGAUAAAAUGUCAGACUGCUCAAGUUCAAUUCUGGUAUUCAUCAAACGUCUCAGAUUGCACCAGGUGAUGAGAAUUAUCCCGAGGGAAAAAGACCAUAUAAUUUGCGAGACCAGAAGAAGCGUAAGUUGGAAAACGAGGAACCUUCUUCAUCGGAGGGCCCAAAUGUGAAAACUAAGAUGGCCUUGAAGAAUGUGACUAUCAAUACAUUGAAUGUUAAUGCACCAAUCAAAUUGGCUGGUAAACCAAGACGAAGAGUCUCUCCCAGAAAAUUAAAAGAGUGAAGGUCCAACAAGGUGGCUUCACUUGGAAGAAACUGCAAAUGAGGACGCCUAAAAGACUCUUCAUCAGCACUUGUUCUUUCACCCAUCCUUACGUUUUUGUUAAGUGAUUCAUUUUUGAUGUCUUAAUCAGGAUGUUGUUAAAACUGAGUUGUUAAUGUCAUUUUUAUUUGUAUAAAUAUGUUUGUUUUUAGAUGUUUUAGUUUAGCAACUGUCUUGUUUAUGUUUUUGUCAUUCCCAAUCAUUUAAUAAAGAUGUUUUGGAUGGUGUGAAA